UUGAAUAUGAAUGAAACAGGUGCCGACGGUAAUCCAAAGGAUUACAGGUCGGUGAAAAGGGAAGAUGGGUGAAAAUCCCACGCGGUCCCGCCGCUGUAAGAGAAGAGUUCCUCCAGGAAUGCCACCAGAAUAUGGGAAGGCAGGGGGUAAUGUUGACGCUUUAGCCAGAAGACCUGCCUGCUUUAAUUACUCAGU
rnacentral:ncRNA from 2 species